UUCGCCCUACGGGACGCAGCAGUGGGGAAUAUUGCACAAUGGGGGGAACCCUGAUGCAGCGACGCCGCGUGGGUGAAGAAGUAUUUCGGUAUGUAAAGCCCUAUCAGCAGGGAAGAAGAAUGACGGUACCUGACUAAGAAGCACCGGCUAAAUACGUGCCAGCAGCCGCGGUAAUACGUAUGGUGCAAGCGUUAUCCGGAUUUACUGGGUGUAAAGGGAGCGCAGGCGGUGCGGCAAGUCUGAUGUGAAAGCCCGGGGCCCAACCCCGGUACUGCAUUGGAAACUGCCGUACUUGAGUGUCGGAG
rnacentral:rRNA from 1 species